UACGUAGGGGGCAAGCGUUGUCCGAAUUUACUGGGCGUAAAGCGCGCGUAGGCGGUUUAUCAGGUCAGGUGUGAAAUCUCCGGGCUCAACUCGGAAACUGCACUUGAAACCGGUAGGCUUGAGGAUAGGAGAGGGAAGUGGAAUUCCUGGUGUAGCGGUGAAAUGCGUAGAUAUCAGGAGGAACAUCCGUGGCGAAGGCGGCUUCCUGGCCUAUAACUGACGCUGAGGUGCGAAAGCCAGGGGAG
rnacentral:rRNA from 1 species